CCUACGGGAGGCAGCAGUAGGGAAUCUUUCACAAUGGGCGAAAGCCUGAUGGAGCAACGCCGCGUGCAGGAUGAAGGCCUUCGGGUUGUAAACUGCUUUUACAAGCGAGAAAUAUGAUGGUAACUUAUGAAUAAGGAUCGGCUAACUACGUGCCAGCAGCCGCGGUCAUACGUAGGAUCCGAGCAUUAUCCGGAGUGACUGGGUGUAAAGAGUUGCAUAGGUUGCAUAAUAAGUAGCUAGUGGAAUCUGGUGGCUCAACCAUUCAGACUAUUAGCUAAACUGUUAAGCUCGAGACCGUUAGGGGUAACUGGAAUGUCUAGUGUAGGAGUGAAAUGCGUAGAUAUUAGAAGGAACACCAAUAGCGUAGGCAGGUUACUGGGACGGUUCUGACACUAAGGCACGAAAGCGUAGGGAGCAAACGGGAUUAGAUACCCGAGUAGUC
rnacentral:rRNA from 1 species